AAUCAGGGCCCAAUCAGCUGACUGUCAGCUGGGACGGGCUGGCUUAACCCUUCCUGCGCCGCUGCCUACCCGGGAGGGAACGAGGCCCGGCGCAAAGUUUGGUAUUUUAAAGCGAUAGGCAAGUCGAAGAAGCAGAGAUUUAUUUGGAGAGAAAGCUCCUGAAACCGACCCAGCCUUUGGAAGACCAGCCCGUCUGCUUAGAAGUUGGGACUGUUGAUUCCUUCAAUUAAUGAAAUGCAUUUGGUGUUUUUAAUCGUAUUUAUUUUACUUUAUGAGAAGGGGGAGACGCUAGGAGGGUGCAUUAAAAAAAAAAAAAAAUUCUGAAAAGCCUGCAAAAGGAUCGAAGAGUGGAAACUAUUGUUGGAGCGAGUUGGUUUUUACCUCAACAGCGCCACCUUUCGGCAAAGGUUUCUUCCUUGGAAAACAAUAUACAUCACUUAAUGAAAUCUUUGUUUGUUUUGCACAAGAGAUGUAAAAAAUCCAGAUGUUUUCUUCAGUGAGAAUUCCUGGGAAGGUGUACCAGCCUUCUUCUCUUUCUUCACCUGACAAAGACACCCAACACGGCCUCUCAGACCGGAGGUGUUUAAUAUAUAGUUUUGACACGCAUGAACAUGGGAAUGAAAGGGCUCCUUUUGGUUUUAGACAAUAGACAGAGCUAUAAAAUGAUGAUGGAGCCUGUUUUCCCCACUCUUGUCAUUUUAAGUCAAUAGAUUUCCUGGGUUUCUUCCCCCGCCCCCCCACUUUGCCUUUUCAGGGGAUAGGCAUCUCCUUAGAUUUUUGUUUUUCUUCACUUAGGGUCAGCUUUAUGAUUCGUUCUUCUGCUGUCAUCCUUUUUCAUCCUAUUCACAGCCUGUACCGGUGAGGGAAUUUGUCUCAAAAGCAUUCAGCCCUUCAAAGAUUUUUAUUGUGGUGAACUCAGAACUGAUAAACAGAAAAACAGAAACAGAAAAAGGGAACUGAUAUGGGGGCGAUCUUGAUGCGGGUUGUGUCUCUCAUGCAUGAUAACUCAGAGGACAGGCUCCUCGGUAGUGCGGUAGUGCUAACUCUGUGAAGUUUCUUCACCCUCCUUCCUAGCCCUGGAGGCGGGGUGAUUCAUAGCUCCUGUUCCAAAGGCAUUCAGCAGCCAUUCGACCUGGGAAAGAAACAGAGUUUUAGAAAAUACAGGCCAAAUGUAGAGACGCCUGUGAUUACCAGGAUGAGUAUGUCAGUGCAGGUGGCUUCUGAAUUUCUGUUUCUGAGUUUGUUUGGCUGAUGCCUAAGGAAAGGGGUCCCUUACAGCCCUGUUUUAUACCUUAGUUCUUGGUGGCAACGUGGGUGUUGCUGAUCUCUCUGAUGUGUUUUUCUGUGCACUGAAAACACCAGACAUGCUCCGUGACAUCCUCGGAGCAUCUCCCAUCAUAAUGGAGUGUUCCUAACCUGACAAAGAAUAGCAUAUUACCUCCCCAUCUACUCAAAAUAAAAUUAUAGUAAAAUUUA